rnacentral:lncRNA from 15 species
GCACGGGCCAUCAUCAGGGACGUCCAGUCCUCCGUCGCCAUCUUCCAGGUAUGGGUUUGUAUAAUCUACUAUUUAGAUCAUGUUAGACAGGUUCGCCUUUGUUAUAUGAAGUAUAAUGGUUUGGCUCUUGUAAUUCCCUCCCUUGUCGGUUAACCAGUGUUUUUCUUCUGCAUGUCUAUAGGUGGCGCUGGCCGCGACGUUUCGUCCGCUUCUUGGGACUUCCUCAGGCUUAAGGCCACAGCAUGCAGGAUUUCAUGGACUUCGUGGAGCUCCCUCAACACGGAAUAAGGUGGCGCUGGCCGCGACGUUUCGUCCGCUUCUUGGGACUUCCUCAGGCUUAAGGCCACAGCAUGCAGGUAAGUAUAUCCCCUAUAUGGGUUACAGUGAGGAGAGGUUGCUCCUCAGAGGUUCGUGCCAAACUGAUUUUUGUUCCUGUCUGUUCCUGCAUUUUAUAGGCUCCUCCUGCUCUCCGAACAUUCGUGUCCUGUUACUUUUGUCCAAAUUCCGUAUUCCCAUUUAUUUAUAAUUGUUAUCGUGUAACCGUAUGUCCUCUUUCCUUUAUUCUUUCCUUUCCCAUCACCCAACUCUCAUUCUUUUCCUUUAA